rnacentral:rRNA from 1 species
AUUGAACGCUGGCGGCAUGCCUUACACAUGCAAGUCGAGCGGCAGCGCGGGGGCAACCCUGGCGGCGAGCGGCGAACGGGUGAGUAAUGCAUCGGAACGUGUCCUCUUGUGGGGGAUAACCAGUCGAAAGACUGGCUAAUACCGCAUGAGAUCGAGAGAUGAAAGCGGGGGACCGCAAGGGCCUCGCGCGAGAGGAGCGGCCGAUGUCGGAUUAGCAGUUGGCGGGGUAAUGGCCCACCAAGGCGACGAUCCGUAGCUGGUCUGAGAGGACGACCAGCCACACUGGGACUGAGACACGGCCCAGACUCCUACGGGAGGUCAGCAGUGGGGAAUUUUGGACAAUGGGCGCAAGCCUGAUCCAGCAACGCCGCGUGAGGG